CAUACAAUAUUUUAUUUUAUCAACAAUAUUUAGCUUUAGUCCACUAAUUCUAAAAUUAAGUUUUUUAGUAAUUUUUUUGCCUACAGGUUUAAAUAGAACUAAUUCAGUUUUUUUGGCAUUUAAAGAUAAUUUGUUUGAUCGCAACCAUUGAACCAGUUAUGCCAGGUCAUAAUUUAGGUGUUUAUUAAGUUUUUUUAAAGAUUUCUCUACUAUUAGGAGGUUGGUGUCAUCAGCAAAAUGAUACAUUUUUGAGUAUUUAACACACAUGUUUAAAUCAUUUAUAUAGAUGAGAAAAAGGAGGGGACCCAGAGUUGAACCCUUAGGAAUACCUAUAGACAUGAACUUAAUAGAGGAAGAGAUAUUACUAAUAGUAACAGUUUGUGUACGAUGGUUUAGACAUGACUUAAACCAGUUCAGAGCGAUACCCCUCACACCAUAAUGAUAGAGCUUUGAUAAUAGAAUUUCAUGGUCAACAGUAUCAAAUGCUUUUUGCAGAUCAACGAACACUCCACCAGCAAACUGUUUUUGGUCCAAAGCUUCACGUAUGGUUUCCGUUAUAUCUAUGAGUGCUUGGUUUGUUGAGUGAUUCUUUUGGAAUCCGAAUUGGAGACUAUAUAAGCUAUUUGAUAGAUUUAGAAAACUGCUUAACCUAUUAUACAUAAGUUUUUCAAUUAAUUUGCCUAUAUUUGAAAGCAAGAAUAUAGGCCGAAAGUUACAAAGAUCUUGUUUACAGCCGCCUUUAAAAAUUAGGACAACUUCAGCAAUUUUAAAUAAGUCAGGGAAUAUUCCAGAUUAAAAAGAUUGAUUAAUUAUAAUGCUCAAGGGGAAGGUUAACUCUUGAGAUUCUAAGAUCAUAAUUUUGAAAGGAAUGCUGUUGGGUCCAGUGCUUUUUUUUGGAUUUAUGAGAGAGGUAUAGUCAUUUAUUUCUUGAGAAGUAACUGGGGAUAUAAAAAGAGAAUUAGGAUUUUUAUUUUUUAGGUAGUGGCUGAAGUCAAAUCUAGGGGGUAUAAUUUUCUUAGCAAGAUUAUCUGCUAUUGAAGAAAAGUAAUCGUUAAAUGCAUUUGAAAUUAUUUUUUUAUUAAUUAUAGUUUUAUUAUUGAUAUUUAAACUAUCUAUAUUAUUGCUGUUCUUUGAUUUAAUAGAAAUAAUACUCUUUAUUCCUUUCCAGGUGUUUUUAAGGUUAUUUAAAUUUUGAUUGAAGUAGGUUGAGUAAUAUGUUUUUUUUGAGUAUCGCAGUAGAUUACUAAUUUGAUUUCUAUAAUAUUUAAAUUUUUGAAAGUAUUUUAAUUUUAAAUUCUCAUUUUUACAUUUUAUAUAUUUUUUGUGCAAUUUAUUUUUAAUUUUUAUGUAUGUAAUGAUUCCAUUAGUAAUCCAUGGCUUUGAUAAAGAUUUAGUAGCUUUUUUGGUGAACAUUUUAAAAGGGCCAUGCUUAUCAAGUAACCUUUUAACUAUAUCCAAAAACUUAGAAGUAGAGUUAUUAACAUCAUAGUUCUCAUUUUGGUUUAUUAAAAGCCAAUCUGUUUUCUUAAGGUCUUUAAGAAAUUUCUUAUCAUGAAAUGAUAAGAAAUCUUAUCAAGAAAUUUCUUAUCAUUCUUAUCAAAAUGGUUUAUCAAUGUUAGACAUUAGCUGCUCUUUUGUUUUCUGCUCUGAAAAAACAACACUUAUUCAACGUUAUUUCAACGUUGGUUGAAAAUGUGGUAAUUAAAAGACGUUGAAAAAGUGUUACUUUGCCAACAUUAAUAGAACGUUGUUUUGACAAUGUUGAGGAAAUGGCAUAUUGAAAAUUAUUGUCUCAAUAACUAGCCAUUACAAAAAUAAUUAGCCGUAAUGGAAAGGCAAGGAGAACUUGAUAGAAUGCAUGCAUAUGGUUUGAAGCAGAGGUUCCAUCUUGUUCGAAAAAAGGUGGAUGGUUAUUUUGGCCAACUUGUGUUCAUGCAAUGAAUGCUACCUAUAAUAAUUUUCCAAUCGUUGAUUCCUGCAACAAGCUUAGACUUAAAAUAGUUAAAAUAACUGGAGUUCAUUAAAUUUUACAAUAAAGAAGUAUGUGCAGGAUUUAAUUUCACGACUAAAGAGGACUCCAAAGAAGAAUUAAAGUUCUGGUAGAUCAAAGAUCGAGGAAUGAUUUGGUUUUAACUGGUUUGCAUCUUAUGAGCGAAGUAAAUAAUAUGAUUUAAAUUGAUGAUUUAGAGUUACACCUAUUGAAAUUCUGUAUCUCAAUGAUAUCCUGGCUAAUCGAUACGAUAUCCUGUAAAUCCACUCACACACAAAUUUUACUCACACAUGUAAAUCCUGUAAAUUCACUCACACACAUAAAUCUUAAAAAAGAUGUUUAUAUUUUUAUUUAUAAAUUGUAAAUUUUAUAUAAAUUGUAUAUUUUUUAUGUUUUUCAUUGUAUAUUACUAUUUGUAUUAAAAAUCGA